UUAUUAAUAAAAUCUGUACCUGUACAACCAAAAAUUCUGACUUUCAGAGCAGGUAUCUACGGAUAAAUAUCCGACAGGAACGUCCCUCGAGUUCACUUCAGUAUCAGUUUUUUGUUGUUGUUGUUAGUUUUGUGACUGCAUCCAUGAGACAUCUGGACAGACAGGUUUGUAGAGUCAAAGCAGAAAAAACACGUGACUCAUGUCAAACAGACUUCUGAAACAUUCGUGCUGCUAAAUCCAAUCGUUAAAAAAGACAAACGAGGAAAACCACAAGCAAAAAUUUGUUUAUUGAAAUGAACUCGUGCACUUUAACGUGAGGUCGGCUCAAAGGACAGAAUUUACAUACAGGAUCUGAACUUCUGCAAAGGAUACAGUGUGCAUAUGUGGGUUGUGUAGUGAGAAGGAUGCUGAGGAUGGAGCUGCCAGGCAGAAAGACAAGAGGGAGGACAAAGAGGAGGUUUGUGGACACGCAGGUGGUUGGCGGGACAGAAACAGAUGCAAAGCACAAGGUGCCAGCAAUAUUUUUUUUGUGCAGCAGCUCAGAGUGCUUUUACAGCCUCAUCUGUGAAAGCAGAUAGGACAGACGCUUGCUUCUUGCUGAGGGUGAGUACUUUUUAAACACCUAACAUUUUAAAGUAGCUGCGCACACUUUUUACCUGCACUGAAACCGCUGGGAUGAAACAUUUGUGGGCACUUUUCCAAAGUGGAGGGGCGGCACUAUAUGAACACAGGGCUUUAAUUACUCCAUAUUUGCUGAAGUAGGUAAAGUAGCUAUGUAGUUUUGUUUAAUAGUCUACAUUUUUACCUUCAGAGGUUCUGAAUUAGACUGUGUCAAAGUGUCUAUGGCUGAAUGGUAAUAUUCGCUAUAAUAUCGACCCAAUUCCUGACGGAAACAGCUGUUUUUCUGGGCUCCCUUUACAGCCUGGAGAAAAGUUGACCCCUGUGUAAUAUUCUGAUGCAGGUUAAAUUACUACUAGAAAAAAAAUUGAAUAUUUGAGAGUUGCAAGCACGGAGGCAAAAUGUGUUAAACUUGUCCCGAUCUCCCCUACAAAUAUUGGAAAGUAUUUCAUUGUGUUCACUCUCUCACAAUUCAUGUAGUAACUCCAUUAGGAGACAUAAUCAGAAGGCAGUAACCGGAGGUUAAAAGCGUUUAGAAGUGAUGUGU